rfam:Solenopsis invicta Si_gnG.contig05151, whole genome shotgun sequence.
GUACUUACUUCGGCAGUAUAUAUACUAAAAUUGAAACAAAGAAGAUUAGCAUAGCCUCUACGUAAAGAUAACACGCAAAAUGUGUUGUAACACGUUCUAUAUUUUU